rnacentral:misc_RNA from 1 species
UUUCCGUAGGUGAACCUGCGGAAGGAUCAUUACUGAGACUGGGUGCUUCGGCGUCCGACCUCCAACCCUUUGUCUACCUCACCACUGUUGCCUCGGCGGCUGCAUCCGAAGCCCUUCACGGGCGGUUGGAAGCAUCGAGCCGCCGGUGGCCUACAACCAAAACUCUUGUUUAAACACCGUUCAUCUGAGAAUAAAAACAAUAACUUCAAAACUAUUAACAACGGAUCUCUUGGUUCUGGCAUCGAUGAAGAACGCAGC